GACGAACGCUGGCGGCGUGCCUAAUACAUGCAAGUUGAGCGAUGAAGAUUGGUGCUUGCACCGAUUUGAAGAGCAGCGAACGGGUGAGUAACGCGUGGGGAAUCUGCCUUUGAGCGGGGGACAACAUUUGGACACGAAUGCUAAUACAGCAUAAAAACUUUAAACAUAAGUUUUAAGUUUGAAAGAUGCAAUUGCAUCAUUCAAUGAUGAUCCCGCGUUGUAUUAGCUAGUUGGUGAGGUAAAGGCUCACCAAGGCGAUGAUACAUAGCCGACCUGAGAGGGUGAUCGGCCACAUUGGGACGGAGACACGGCCCAAACGCCUACGGGAGGCAGCAGGAGGGAAUCGUCAGCAAUGGACGAAAGUCUGACCGAUCAACGCCGCGUGAGUGAAGAAGGUUGUCGGAUCGUAAAACUCUGUUGGUAGAGAAGAACGUUUGUGAGAGUGGAAAGCUCAUCAAGUGACGGUAACUACCCAGAAAGGGACGGCUAACUACGUG
rnacentral:rRNA from 1 species